GGGUUAACUAUUCAACAAUUUCAAAAUGACUGGGAAAUUACAAACAAGCCCAUGACAUGUAUUUCAUAAUACAUGCUUGGCUGCGAUUUUGACGCCCCUCGAAUUAGGCGGCAAUUAAAUUGCAAGAAGACACUAUUAGAUUUUCCAAUUUCGUUAUCCCGCUAUAAUUCAUUUCGGUAGCCCGCCAUUCGACCAAGGCUUUCUGCAUCCAAUUUCUUCUGAAGAACCAAAUAAAGGGUCUUCUCCAUCAAAAACCUAAUAUGUAAUUUUCCAAUUGAAAAGAUGAACUUGCAACUGAGGAGCACCAGAAUUCGAUUUCAUCACUUUCCCUCAGUGAAACCCUCAAUUCUCUUUCCCUCUAACAAAGAAAUACGAUUUCAUCAGUGUUUAAUUGAAAAGAUGAACCUGCAACUGAGGAGCACCAAAAAUGGCGUCUUGUUGCAUCUGCCGAUCAACAGUUAAAUGCAGAACAUAGACUAAUUAAGAUCUCUUUCCAGCACUCCGAGUGGAGAGGUUUGCAUUUGAGGAAAUACUCUCUUCACAUGUUACUAUAAAAGAGAAUACCUCAAUGAAGAAGUCAUGUUUGGAUGACUGGUUCAACACAGGUUAGUCUGAUCAUGUUUUUUUUCAUCUUCAGCUGGGAUGAUUGUCGUUCUUCCUAGUUCCUAAAGGUUAGAGCUGGUCAUGGGCAAUGGCCCUAAAAUGCCAGCCUAUUUUGUCCCAGGGUAUCUCCACUUGUCCAGGUUGAAUAAAUAUGUCCAACCUCAACUAAUAGGAGCAGGUGAAAUGACUGAUUUGGUUGAUUUUGCCCAAACCCAGGCCUGCCAUUUUGAUCAGCUCUAUUCCUUACAAUUUACGACAUUGUUUUUAAUAUACAAAUAUCUACACAAGGGAUAUUGGACAGUGGCAAUCUGAUGGGUGCAUGAAGAUCAUUGAUCGCAAGAAAAACAUAUUUAAUCUUUCUUAGGGAGAAUAUGUUUCAGUUGAAAACUUGAAGAAUACUUACAAUCUUGCCUCAGAAAUCGAUGCAAUAUAUCUGAUCUGUGCUGCAAAUAAGAAUAAGCAACUCUGUAACAUCAUUUGAAUUAUGUAGUUUGCUUUUGCUCUGAGAUCAUUUGUCUGUUUCAGAUAUGGGUUUAUGGAAAUAGCUUCCAGUCUUUUGCCGUUGAUGUAGUUAACCCCAACAAGCAUGCUCUUGCUGGGCUGAAGAACAUGGUGUUGUAGGUGAUUUUUUCACUAUGCCAGCAUCAUUGAGAAAAGGCCUAGUUGUUAUAAAGGGACUGGGGUUCUGCUUCUGUUCUGCUCGUAGUUGGCUUGCUGCUGUUGUUGACUGUCAGAUGCAGGGUUCCAGUUUGAAGAGUUGUUAGAUGUUCAGUCAGAUGGGAAGAUGUUGUUGCAACAGCUUGAUUGAAGUAAAGUAGCUGCCUGCCUUUUCUUGCUCUUAAUUCUGGUCAACGUUACCAGAGUUGACUUGCUGUGUUUGUGCCUUGUUUUUCUCUCGUUUUGUUUGGUCAUUAAGGUAAAAGAGUGUCAUUUCAUUCUGGGCUUAUUCAUUGGUCCAUUGUUUUCUUACAGGUGAAAUGCAUUGACUUAGCAAUUGCCAUCCUCUUUAUGUGUUGGUUUCUUCUUCUCUUCGACAGGGUUCUACCACCAAGCAGAAAGAACUUGUCUUGCGCGUAGUUUGAAGCCUUUGUUGAGUAAAGUUGAUUCAUUUUUUAGUAGUGCUUUUAGGACUUGUAUACAAAUGAAUUUUGAGUUGAGAUAUAACAUAGCCUUUGUCGAAGCGGCUAUGUUUGCGCUCAUCUAUGCCUUUGAGGCUAGGUUCAGAUCACUUAAGUUGGAAAGUGAUUGUUUGGUGCUAAUAAGGUUGCUUCAGACUAAAGCCAAAGAGUACUCGACAUCCCAAAUUAUAGUUAAUGAUAUGUGUAAUUUUGCUUCUUCCUGCAAUGUGUGCUUUUUGCUUCACAAAACGAACUUAACGCAAUGGCUCAUUCCUUGGCUAAGGCCUCUCUCCUGAUUGAGGUUGUCCUAUUUGGAUGGAGGACGGCCCCCCGAGGUCCGACCUGUUAUUGUAGCAGACAAGUCUACGAUUGAGUAAAGAAAUGCUACGGAGUACAUUUUUUCCUGUCAAAAAAAUAGAGUAUAUAUACUUUGUAUAGUUUUUUCUUGUGAUACACAAAGUGGAACAUAGGCAUAAUAAGGAUACACAAAAUAACAACUUAGUUUUUCCAUUUUAGUUUAGUAUGUAAAAUUUAGUAUUGUAUGUCUUUUCCCAUUAAUUACACUUUUUUGUAUGUGUGCAGGUUAUUGUAGGCAUGAAUUUCUACAUAUCUUAGUGCCUUAGAUGCAAAUGUAUGAUGUACCUUACUUGUGAUUUGUAAAUCAAAAUCUAUUAUCUGCAGUA